rnacentral:rRNA from 1 species
AUGAACGCUGGCGGCGUGCCUAAUACAUGCAAGUCGAGCGAACAGACGAGGAGCUUGCUCCUCUGACGUUAGCGGCGGACGGGUGAGUAACACGUGGAUAACCUACCUAUAAGACUGGGAUAACUUCGGGAAACCGGAGCUAAUACCGGAUAAUAUAUUGAACCGCAUGGUUCAAUAGUGAAAGAAGGAUUUGCUGUCACUUAUAGAUGGAUCCGCGCCGCAUUAGCUAGUUGGUAAGGUAACGGCUUACCAAGGCAACGAUGCGUAGCCGACCUGAGAGGGUGAUCGGCCACACUGGAACUGAGACACGGUCCAGACUCCUACGGGAGGCAGCAGUAGGGAAUCUUCCGCAAUGGGCGAAAGCCUGACGGAGCAACGCCGCGUGAGUGAUGAAGGUCUUCGGAUCGUAAAACUCUGUUAUUAGGGAAGAACAAAUGUGUAAGUAACUAUGCACGUCUUGACGGUACCUAAUCAGAAAGCCACGGCUAACUACGUG